UCCUCAGAUGGGAUCCCACCAGCCCUCAGAAGACCACAGGAGUGCCAGCGGCCGCCAGUCACAGAAAUCCCUCAGCCCUGGUUCCACACCUGCUGACUUUCUGAGGUUCUGUGCUUUAGACUUUAGACCGACCCAGCUGGAAGUGAAGUCUUCUCCAUGGUCAUUUCUGUUGGGGCUUCAUUAUGUGACCCCUGCUCACAGAGUUUCAUGUCUUCCAGGCACAAACGCUGAGUCUCCUCAGUGGGGUGUUUUCCUUGGACGCCCCUCUCGGAGGCCCUUCCUUCUCCAGUUCCCCACUGGCUGUAUCUGAAGAGGGAAGAGGAGCCUUGUCCUGCUUCCUGCCUAUAGAUGCCUGGACGCUCCUGCCCGUGGAUGUCUGAGUUUAUUUUGCAAGCGCUCAAAGUCUCGCUCGGUUCUAGCCGGUAGCUCAUUUGGCAAUAAAAUUUUCCAAGAAUUGUA